rnacentral:rRNA from 1 species
AUUGAACGCUGGCGGCAUGCCUUACACAUGCAAGUCGAACGGCAGCAUGGAGAGCUUGCUCUCUGAUGGCGAGUGGCGAACGGGUGAGUAAAGCAUCGGAACGUACCGUGUAGUGGGGGAUAACGUAGCGAAAGUUACGCUAAUACCGCAUACGCACUGAGGUGGAAAGCAGGGGAUCGUAAGACCUUGCGCUAUACGAGCGGCCGAUGUCAGAUUAGCUAGUUGGUAGGGUAAAGGCCUACCAAGGCGACGAUCUGUAGCGGGUCUGAGAGGAUGAUCCGCCACACUGGGACUGAGACACGGCCCAGACUCCUACGGGAGGCAGCAGUGGGGAAUUUUGGACAAAGGGGGCAACCCUGAUCCAGCCAUGCCGCGUGAGUGAAGAAGGCCUUCGGGUUGUAAAGCUCUUUCGGCCGGGAAGAAAUCGCACAGGCUAAUACCCUGUGUGGAUGACGGUACCGGCAUAAGAAGCACCGGCUAACUACGUG